UUAAAAAGCUCGUAGUUGGAUUUCUGUAGUGGGAUGCCGGCCGGGUUCUCUGAACUUGUUAGCUAGGUUAUCUUGCUGCAUCUUGUCGUAAUUCUUACUGGCAUUAAUUUGUUGGUACGGAGGACCGACUCGUUUACUUUGAGAAAAUUAGAGUGUUUAAAGCAGGCUAUAGCUUUGAAUAUGUUAGCAUGGAAUAAUAAUAUAGGACUUUACGUUCUAUUUUGUUGGUUGUUCGAGGACGUAAGUAAUGAUUGAUAGGGACAGUUGGGGGCAUCAGUAUUCUGAAGCGAGAGGUGAAAUUCUUGGACCUUCGGAAGACUAACAACUGCGAAAGCAUUUGCCUAGGAUGUUCUCUUUAAUCAAGAACGAAGGUUGGGGGAUCGAAGACGAUCAGAUACCGUCGUAGUCUCAACUAUAAACUAUGCCAACUAGGGAUGGGUCAAUGUUUAAUUACGACUUGAUCCGCACCUUAAGAGAAAUCAAAGUAUUUGGGUUCCGGGGGGAGUAUGGUCGCAAGGCUGA
rnacentral:rRNA from 1 species